GGUCAAGCCGAGAAGGUUAAAUACUCCUAGGUGACUGAUAACGAAGUAGUACCGUGUGGGAAGAGUGAAAAGAACCCCCAUCGGGGAGUGAAAUAGAAUAUAAAACCGUAACCUCCCAAGCAGUAGGAGCAGCCAAGUCUCUGACCGCGUGCCUGUUGAAGAAUGAGCCGGCAGUAAGUGCUAAAAAAUCGUAUAUUGUUUCUGAUUUUUGUGUCUUUAUCUC
rnacentral:rRNA from 1 species